rnacentral:rRNA from 1 species
GAUGAACGCUAGCGGCAGGCUUAAUACAUGCAAGUCGAGGGGCAGCGGGGAUAGCAAUAUCUGCCGGCGACCGGCAAACGGGUGCGGAACACGUACGCAACCUUCCCGAAACAGGUGAAUAGCCCUGCGAAAGUAGGAUUAAUACACCGUAUGAUACAGGAGUGGCAUCACUCUUAUAUUAAAGGUAGCAAUACCGGUUUGGAUGGGCGUGCGCCUGAUUAGGUAGUUGGNGCGGGUAAUGGCCCACCAAGCCUUCGAUCAGUAACUGGUGUGAGAGCACGACCAGUCACACGGGCACUGAGACACGGGCCCGGACUCCUACGGGAGGCAGCAGUAAGGAAUAUUGGUCAAUGGACGAAAGUCUGAACC